rnacentral:lncRNA from 1 species
AAGCCAUAAGCCAUUUCGACGGCAAAGCCAACUCGUUUGAACCUUCCAGCAAUUUCUAGAAUGUGGAUGGAAUCCAUAAUUGACAUUUAUGACUAAUAAUCUUGAUUUGCAGGUUAAUAGAUAGAUUUUCUAUCCUAACGGUCUACUAGAUCAAGGUCUAACAAUCUAGUGGACUAGGGCCUAAUGACUUACCAAAUUUAGACAUAACAAUCUAUAACUCCAUCUUCAUAUAAAUAGGUAACCAAGG